CAGCCACGGCGGCGGCGCAUGCGCAGCUGGGGCCGGGCGCUCCCGGCGCUGCCGUAAAGCGGCACGGCGGCGGUUCCGGGAGCAGCGGGUAACAAAACCCAAACAAACCAAAAAAAUCACACAAGGACACAGUUCACUGAAAUGUGAGAAUGGCCAGUUCUUUAAGAAGUGAAGUGAUAAAACUGUACAAAAAUCUGCUGUACCUUGGAAGGGAGUAUCCCAAAGGAGCAGACUACUUCAGAAGCCGGUUGAAAGCAGCUUUUCUAAAAAACAAAGAUGAGACAGACCCAGAAAAAAUUAAGCAGCUGAUUGCCCGGGGAGAGUUUGUUAUAAAGGAGCUGGAGGCUUUGUACUUCCUGAGGAAAUACCGAGCCAUGAAGCAGCGCUACUACAGCGACGACAAGCCCUGACUGUGCCUGUAACCACACACACCCAGCAAAGGUAACAAUAAAAGAGCUCUAACUGCAAAGAAGUGACAUGUAAAUCCUUCCAACCCCUCUACAGCACAAAUGAGGGAGCUGCUUCCCUGCCAGGGGUCACUUGAAGGGUUUGGGGUGUGCAGGUUAUGGGCAAUAGGUUUUCCUGUGCUGCUUUUGACCUCCUCAAACUAAAACUUAAGGUAUGAAAGGAUUUUGCAGGAAGGAGUGGUUGCACUGCCCUGUUUUGUUUCACUUCAAUGCUUGUGUUGGACAGAAACUCUUCUUACCCCAUAGCUGUGUGUUUGGGUGUCAGUUCAAGGUGCUAUGCUUGUUACCUGAAAGAUGAACCUGAUUUAAAAUCCUCCACAUUGAACAAUCUGAUUCUGCUGGAAAUGAGCACCCUCUCAGAAGUGAGACUCCCAGCCCUGGAGAGGGAGUGCUGUGUUCAGUUCUGGUCUCCACAGCGCAGGAAAGACAAGGAGCUCCUGGAGAGGAUCAAGCAGAGGCCAUAAACAUGAGGGGUCUGGAGCAUCUCUUAUGAGGGACUGCAGGAGCUGGGCCUGUUUAGUCCGGGGAAGAGAAGAUUCAGAGGGGAUCUCAUCAAUGCAUACAAAUAUCUCAAGGGUGGGUGCCAAGAGGACGGUGCCAGGCUCCCCUCAGUGGUGUCCAGCAACAGGACAAGGAGCAAUGGCCAUAAACAUAAAGCAAGGAGUUCCACCUCAUGAGGAAGAAUUUCUGUACACUGAGGGUGGCAGAGCCCUGAACAGUUGUCCAGGGAGGGCGUGGAGUCUCCUUCUCUGUGGACAUCCCAAACUCACCUGGACUUGUUCCUGUGUCACCUGCUCCAGGUGACCCUGCCUGGGCAGAGGGGUCGGAUUAAAUGGUCUGCAGAGGUCCCUUCCAACCCUGACUAUUCUGUGAAAGCAUUGCUAGUUCAAGAACCAACAGUCAAAGAAUACUGGCACUUUAAGAGGAAUGAAGUUUCCACUGUCAUUU